rnacentral:rRNA from 1 species
AUACAGAGGGUGCUAGCGUUAAUCGGAUUUACUGGGCGUAAAGCGCGCGUAGGUGGUUUGGUAAGCGAUCUGUGAAAGCCCCGGGCUUAACCUGGGAAUUGCAGGUCGAACUGCCAGGCUAGAGUAUGGUAGAGGGGUGUGGAAUUUCCUGUGUAGCGGUGAAAUGCGUAGAUAUAGGAAGGAACAUCAGUGGCGAAGGCGACACCCUGGACCGAUACUGACACUGAGGCGCGAAAGCGUGGGUAGC